GAUGAACGCUGGCGGCGUGCUUAACACAUGCAAGUCGAACGGAAAGGCCCUGCUUGCGGUGUACUCGAGUGGCGAACGGGUGAGUAACACGUGGGUGAUCUGCCCUGUACUUUGGGAUAAGCCUGUGAAACUGAGUCUAGUACCGACUAUGACAUUUGUUUAGAUGCGUUUGUGGAAAGCUUUUGCGGUUUGGGAUGAGCUCGCGGCCUAUCAGCUUGUUGGUGGGGUAAUGGCGUACCAAGGCGUCGACGGGGAGCAGGCCUGAGAGGGUGUACGGCCAGAUUGGGACUGAGAGACGGGCCAGAGUAGUACGGGAGGCAGCAGUGGGGAAUAUUGCACAAUGGGCGCAAGCCUGAGGGAGGGACGCCGCGUGGGGGAUGACGGCCUUUGGGUGGUAAACACCAUUCGCAACCGAAGAAGGCUUUUGGUGACGGUAGGUUGAGAAGAAGCACCGGCUAACUACGUG
rnacentral:rRNA from 1 species